rnacentral:rRNA from 1 species
UACGAAGGGGGCGAGCGUUGUUCGGAAUCACUGGGCGUAAAGGGCGCGUAGGCGGCCCUCCUUGUCGCGUGUGAAAGCCCCGGGCUCAACCUGGGAACGGCGCGCGAGACGGGGGGGCUGGAGUUCGGGAGAGGAGCGUGGAAUUCCCAGUGUAGAGGUGAAAUUCGUAGAUAUUGGGAAGAACACCGGUGGCGAAGGCGGCGCUCUGGACCGAGACUGACGCUGAGGCGCGAAAGCCAGGGGAGCAAACGGG